rnacentral:tRNA from 1 species
GGGGCUGUGGCUCAGCGGUAGAGCAUUUGCUUAGCAUGUACAAGGCCCUGGGUUCGAUCCUCAGCACUACA